rnacentral:lncRNA from 1 species
CCUAUGUCUUUGCACCGCGUCGCACAAGUACAAGGUACAUAAACAGGAUACAACCAGCACAACUGAAUAUACAAACAUUCAUACUUUCAUACGUUCAUACACCAUUCACAACAGAUUCACAUUUAGAGUUUAAUCAUAAAUCCACAACUGUUAGUUUAAAAUAUUUUCUAUCCGAAAACUUAUUUUAAAAUACUAAGUCAUAAAAACCAUGAGAAAACUCUUUUAAA